rnacentral:lncRNA from 1 species
AAGUGAUCCGUCUGCCUUGGCCUCCAAAAGUGCUGGGAUUACAGGAGUGAGCCACCACACCCGGCCUUUUAACUUUACAUUUUGGAAUGAAUCAACUUUGGACAGAAUCCACCUGGAUGUUUCUUGCAUCACCCAGCCACUUGGUAUAUGAACGUUGUCAGAAUCAAAAUCGAGUCACUUGUGUGAAAACAAGAAGAAGAAAAAAACUCUGACAAAUAGUGCUGAGGAAGACCAUGAAGAGAAGAUUCUGAUACAUAAAUGCCUGAUAACAGAAACUGUCACAGAAGACUGCCAAACUGCAACCUUGGACAACGGCCCACAAUCGUAUACAAAAAAUACUUCUGCAAAGGACAUUUGCCCAACAACUGCCUGCCCAACCUCAAACUAGCAUGAUCCUUUUUAUUAAUCCUUGGAUUCAUAGCCAAGGAUAAUUAUCUCAAAACAAUUGUGCAAUUCUUAUCUUUCCUUUGAAAAUCUUUGUCCUCCUUUACUUUCCCGAAUACACACAUAGUUUACUAUGGUAUGUGAAUUC